rnacentral:rRNA from 1 species
AUUGAACGAGGGCGGAAGGAAGAAGAAAGGAAACUCGAGCUGUUGAAGGGAGCUUGCAACGAGAUUACGCGGCGGACGGGUGAGUAAUGCCUAGGAAUCUGCCUGGUAGUGGGGGAUAACGUCCGGAAACGGGCGCUAAUACCGCAUACGUCCUGAGGGAGAAAGUGGGGGAUCUUCGGACCUCACGCUAUCAGAUGAGCCUAGGUCGGAUUAGCUAGUUGGUGGGGUAAAGGCCUACCAAGGCGUCGAUCCGUAACUGGUCUGAGAGGAUGAUCAGUCACAGUGGAACUGAGGUACGGUCCAGACUGUGACGGGAGGCAGCAGUGGGGAAUAUUGGACAAUGGGCGAAAGCCUGAUCCAGCCAUGCCGCGUGUGUGAAGAAGGUCUUCGGAUUGUAACUCUCUGUUAGUUGGGAGGAAGGGCAGUAAGUUAAUACCUUGCUGUUUUGACGUUACCAACAGAAUAAGCAACGGCUUCCUUCGUC